UAACAAGUUAUCAUGAUUAGAGUAUGGAGGAAUACUUAACGUUAUAGGGAAACACUAUUUCAUGGUUGAAUCCAAGAAUUACAUAGAGAAAUCAUACAAUCUUACACUUUUUAUGAAACCCUAAAAAAGAGGAAUUAAACUUGAGAAUUAGUGAAACUUUGGGACUCAAUAGGUGAAAAAGGCCUAUUGAUAAUAUCCCACAUACCUAAAAUAGAAUCUUAGAAGAAUCUUCUCA
rnacentral:lncRNA from 1 species